AGAACCAGAAGAACUGUGUGGAGUGGCAGCAACUGGAGGAAGCAGAAUGUCCCCGAGCAAGAUUGUCAAGAGAAAAAAGUUACAUGUAUAAAAUCUACAGUAGAAUUGGAAGAUGGAUCUAAUGAGAAUAACACUAAGGAAACACCAUCCUUCAAAAACUAAAAGCUCCUUGAUGAGACAAGAAAAUGAAGUGUCCCAGAAGAGGAAAUGCAGUAAGUGUUGGGGAUAAAAAGAAGCAUCAGCCAUUUUCAUUUCACGUGGGAAGAACAAUAUGAGACAAACAACCUAAGAUUAAAUGAAACCAGUUGGAUUGGAGAGAUGCAUUUACAUUUUACCACCUGGAUAAGUGUAUUUUCCUCUUGUGGCUUUAUAGGCUUGGGGGCUAUUGAAAAAUAUCUGUCUAUAAAUUGAAUCAACACUCAUUAAACUCAUUAAGAGAAAUGUAGUUAGGAA
rnacentral:lncRNA from 1 species